CACCUCCCAUCACUACUGUCAAUUAGAUGGUUUAGUGAGGUCCUCAAAUCAGCCCAAGCCAGGUCAGCCACGUCCUUUCUAGAGCAUCAAGAAGACAGUCAAACUUGACUAUCCAGAGAAAGUAAAAGUUGUAACAAGGUUUCCGUAGGUGAACCUGUGGAAG
rnacentral:ncRNA from 1 species